UAGUAACGGCGAGUGAAGCGGCAACAGCUCAAAUUUGAAAUCUGGCCCUAGCGGUCCGAGUUGUAAUUUGUAGAGGAUGCUUUUGGUGAGGUGCCUUCCGAGUUCCCUGGAACGGGACGCCGGAGAGGGUGAGAGCCCCGUACGGUUGGACGCCGAGCCUCUAUAUAGCUCCUUCGACGAGUCGAGUAGUUUGGGAAUGCUGCUCUAAAUGGGAGGUAAAUUUCUUCUAAAGCUAAAUACCGGCCAGAGACCGAUAGCGCACAAGUAGAGUGAUCGAAAGAUGAAAAGCACUUUGAAAAGAGGGUUAAAUAGCACGUGAAAUUGUUGAAAGGGAAGCGUUUGCGACCAGACUUUUUCCGGGCGGAUCAUCCGGGGUUCUCCCCGGUGCACUUCGCCCGGUUUAGGCCAGCAUCGGUUUCCUUAGGGGGAUAAAGGCUUGGGGAACGUAGCUCCCUCGGGAGUGUUAUAGCCCCUUGCGUAAUACCUUUCAGGGGACCGAGGAACGCGCUUCGGCAAGGAUGCUGGCGUAAUGGUCGUCAACGACCCGUCUUGAAACACGGACCAAGGAGUCGAACAUUUGUGCGAGUGUUUGGGUGUCAAACCCUCACGCGUAAUGAAAGUGAACGGAGGUGAGAGCCCUUACGGGUGCAUCAUCGACCGAUCCUGAUGUCUUCGGAUGGAUUUGAGUAAGAGCAUAACUGUUCGGACCCGAAAGAUGGUGAACUAUGCGUGGAUAGGGUGAAGCCAGAGGAAACUCUGGUGGAGGCUCGCAGCGGUUCUGACGUGCAAAUCGAUCGUCAAAUCUGCGCAUGGGGGCGAAAGACUUAUCGAACC
rnacentral:rRNA from 1 species